rnacentral:lncRNA from 1 species
AUGUCUUUUCUUUCCUCUCCAGGUUUUACAUCUGGUUUCACAAAGAUCUUUAGUUGUCCACCAAUAUUUAUUUCUUUUUUCAUCCUUAGUAAUAAAAGUCUCUCAGUUGGACACAUGGUUGCCCAGAAAAAGAUUACAUUUCCCUUCCAGUUUUGCAUUUAUAACAUGCAGAGAUGUGCUUCCUAAUUCCUGCAAUUUACUUGGAAUCUGUGGAUGUGCUGAAGUUGAGGAUGUUGAGAUGAAGAGAUUAUCUUGGAUUAUCUCAUCUGAAGGAGGCUUAUAAGGAGAGAUGAAGGCAUUGGGACAUCUCUGGCUUUAGAGACGGAGGCCGGGGCCAUGAGCCAAG